rnacentral:rRNA from 1 species
GCUCGGCUGGGGGGGGGAAUCUGGAACAAGCCUCCCGCUGUCGAUGAAGGCCUACGGGUUGUAAGCACUUUCUGGCAGGGAAAAAUAGGUCUGGCUAAUAUCUGGACUGAAUGACGGUACCUGCAGAAUAAGCACCGGCUAACUACGUGCCAGCAGCCGCGGUAAU